GACGAACGCUGGCGGCGUGCUUAACACAUGCAAGUCGAACGGUAAGGCCCUUCGGGGUACACGAGUGGCGAACGGGUGAGUAACACGUGGGUGAUCUGCCCUGCACUUCGGGAUAAGCCUGGGAAACUGGGUCUAAUACCGGAUAGGACCACUGCCUGCAUGGGUGGUGGUGGAAAGCUUUUGCGGUGUGGGAUGGGCCCGCGGCCUAUCAGCUUGUUGGUGGGGUGAUGGCCUACCAAGGCGACGACGGGUAGCCGGCCUGAGAGGGUGACCGGCCACACUGGGACUGAGAUACGGCCCAGACUCCUACGGGAGGCAGCAGUGGGGAAUAUUGUACAAUGGGCGCAAGCCUGAUGCAGCGACGCCGCGUGAGGGAUGACGGCCUUCGGGUUGUAAACCUCUUUCAGCACCGACGAAGCGCAAAUGACGGUAGGUGCAGAAGAAGGACCGGCCAACUACGUGCCAGCAGCCGCAGUAA
rnacentral:rRNA from 1 species